rnacentral:lncRNA from 1 species
UAUAGAUAUAUAGACAUAGAUAUAUUCCUGUUCCCAUUGCUUCAACCAUUUGUGACUUUUUUCUAGGUGAAGAAUUUCUGUGCUUGACAUAAACAUUUCUGGGGAAGUGUGCUCUUGUAUGAAGAAUGGCCCUAAAUGUGUCUCAGGAUGAGGUUUGCUUGCACCAAAGCUGUACAAGCCAAGGUCAGAGAAACUGAGGGAGGCUGAAGCUGCAUUAACACACAGGAACAUCCAGGGUCCAGCUCACAACUGCUCCAGUGAACUGCUCACAGCUGUGGAGGAACGUCAUGGCCAAAGCUGUGCUAGACCACAACACCAUGGAGAAAACUUGGAGUUGGUACAAAAGACUUUAGAGACGGCUGAGUACAAACUGCAAAAAUUCACCAAGUCCCUCUUUCUCUGAGCCCAGAUCUCUAGAUUUUUGAUAGUUUUAGCUGAAGACCUGUCAAUAGCUUCACUAAAUGAAGUAAGUCUCCAGCCAGGAUUCAUCUUUUAUUUAGAAGCAGCUACAUUGUUCCUUUGUAGGUUAUACAUUGCCCUCCUAUGUCCCUGUUUACUCCUCUAUCUGUUCUCUGGCAUUAUUCCCAUUUUACUGUGCUAUCUUUUUUCUACUUAAGCCACCUCAGGGUAUUCCCAUGGAAGGAAUCCCGUGAUAGAGCAGGCUGCUGAAGG